rnacentral:siRNA from 1 species
CACGUCUGCCUGGGUGUCACA